UACGUAGGGUGCAAGCGUUGUCCGGAAUUAUUGGGCGUAAAGAGCUCGUAGGCGGUUUGUCGCGUCUGCUGUGAAAACCUCGGGGGCUUAACUCCGGGCCUGCAGUGGGUACGGGCAGACUAGAGUGCGGUAGGGGGAGACUGGAAUUCCUGGUGUAGCGGUGAAAUGCGCAGAUAUCAGGAGGAACACCAAUGGCGAAGGCAGCACUCUGGGACGGUACUGACGCUGAGACGCGAAAGCGUGGGGAGCAAACAGG
rnacentral:rRNA from 1 species